rnacentral:rRNA from 1 species
UACCAGCACCCCGAGUGGUUGGGACGAUUAUUGGGCCUAAAGCAUCCGUAGCCGGUCCUACAAGUCUUCCGUUAAAUCCACCUGCUUAACAGAUGGGCUGCGGAAGAUACUAUAGGGCUAGGAGGCGGGAGAGGCAAGCGGUACUCAGUGGGUAGGGGUAAAUUCCUCUGAUCCAUUGAAGACCACCAGUGGCGAAGGCGGCUUGCCAGAACGCGCUCGACGGUGAGGGAUGAAAGCUGGGGGAGCAAACCGG